AUGGAGAGCUGACUGUGCUUGUAGCUUCCUAUAUGAAAAGGUAGAUAGAACAGGUCUUGUUUGCAAAAUAUAUUCAAGACCUACUUAUCUACCAACAGCA
rnacentral:snoRNA from 1 species